GUUGUAUGGUUAAGUGACUAAGCGUACACGGUGGAUGCCUUGGCAGUCAGAGGCGAUGAAGGACGUAUUAACUUGCGAUAAGCCCAGAUUAGGUAGUAAAAACCAUUUGAGUCUGGGAUUUCCGAAUGGGGAAACCCACUAGCAUAAGCUAGUAUCGCUGCGUGAAUACAUAGCGCAGCGAGGCGAACCGGGGGAACUGAAACAUCUAAGUACCCCGAGGAAAAGAAAUCAACCGAGAUUCCGAAAGUAGCGGCGAGCGAAAUUGGACUAGCCCUUAAGCUUUUUAUGCGUCAGGUGAAACUUCUGGAAAGUUGUGCGAUACAGGGUGAUAGCCCCGUAACCGGCAACGCAUAUAAAGUGAAAUCGAGUAGGGCGGGACACGUGAUAUCCUGUCUGAAUAUGGGGGGACCAUCCUCCAAGGCUAAAUACUACUGACUGACCGAUAGUGAACCAGUACCGUGAGGGAAAGGCGAAAAGAACCCCUGUGAGGGAGUGAAAUAGAACCUGAAACCGUGUACGUACAAGCAGUAGGAGCACCUUCGUGGUGUGACUGCGUACCUUUUGUAUAAUGGGUCAGCGACUUAUAUUCAGUGGCAAGGUUAACCAUCUAGGGGAGCCGUAGGGAAACCGAGUCUUAACUGGGCGUUCAGUCUCUGGAUAUAGACCCGAAACCAGGUGAUCUAGCCAUGGGCAGGUUGAAGGUUGAGUAACAUCAACUGGAGGACCGAACCGACUAAUGUUGAAAAAUUAGCGGAUGACUUGUGGCUAGGGGUGAAAGGCCAAUCAAACCUGGAGAUAGCUGGUUCUCCCCGAAAGCUAUUUAGGUAGCGCCUCGGACGAAUACUACUGGGGUAGAGCACUGUUAAGGCUAGGGGUCAUCCCGACUUACCAACCCUUUGCAAACUCCGAAUACCAGUAAGUACUAUCCGGGAGACACACGGCGGGUGCUAACGUCCGUCGUGGAGAGGGAAACAACCCAGACCGCCAGCUAAGGUCCCAAAUUACUACUAAGUGGGAAACGAUGUGGGAAGGCUCAGACAGCCAGGAUGUUGGCUUAGAAGCAGCCAUCAUUUAAAGAAAGCGUAAUAGCUCACUGGUCGAGUCGGCCUGCGCGGAAGAUGUAACGGGGCUAAGUAGUAAACCGAAGCUGCGGCAAUGCACUUUAGUGCAUUGGGUAGGGGAGCGUUCUGUAAGCGGUUGAAGGUGUGUGGUAACGCAUGCUGGACGUAUCAGAAGUGCGAAUGCUGACAUGAGUAACGAUAAAGGGGGUGAAAACCUCCUCGCCGGAAGACCAAGGGUUCCUGUCCAACGUUAAUCGGGGCAGGGUAAGUCGACCCUAAGGCGAGGCCGAAAGGCGUAGUCGAUGGGAAACGGGUUAAUAUUCCCGUACUUCUUACAAUUGCGAUGGGGGACGGAGAAGGCUAGGUGGGCCUGGCGACGGUUGUCCAGGUUCAAGUGCGUAGGCUUAAGAGUUAGGUAAAUCCGGCUCUUUUUAAGGCUGAGACACGACGUCGAGCUACUACGGUAGUGAAGUCAUUGAUGCCAUGCUUCCAGGAAAAGCCUCUAAGCUUCAGAUUGUAAGGAAUCGUACCCCAAACCGACACAGGUGGUCGGGUAGAGAAUACCAAGGCGCUUGAGAGAACUCGGGUGAAGGAACUAGGCAAAAUGGUACCGUAACUUCGGGAGAAGGUACGCUCUCGACGGUGAAGUCCCUUGCGGAUGGAGCUAUUGAGAGUCGCAGAUACCAGGUGGCUGCAACUGUUUAUUAAAAACACAGCACUGUGCAAAAUCGUAAGAUGACGUAUACGGUGUGACGCCUGCCCGGUGCCGGAAGGUUAAUUGAUGGGGUUAGACUUCGGUCGAAGCUCUUGAUCGAAGCCCCGGUAAACGGCGGCCGUAACUAUAACGGUCCUAAGGUAGCGAAAUUCCUUGUCGGGUAAGUUCCGACCUGCACGAAUGGCGUAAUGAUGGCCACGCUGUCUCCACCCGAGACUCAGUGAAAUUGAAAUCGCUGUGAAGAUGCAGUGUACCCGCGGCUAGACGGAAAGACCCCGUGAACCUUUACUACAGCUUGGCACUGAACAUUGACCCUACAUGUGUAGGAUAGGUGGGAGGCUUUGAAGCACAGUCGCUAGAUUGUGUGGAGCCGUCCUUGAAAUACCACCCUUGUAGUGUUGAUGUUCUAACGUUGACCCCUAAUCGGGGUUGCGGACAGUGCCUGGUGGGUAGUUUGACUGGGGCGGUCUCCUCCCAAAGCGUAACGGAGGAGCACGAAGGUGGGCUAAUCACGGUUGGACAUCGUGAGGUUAGUGCAAUGGCAUAAGCCCGCUUGACUGCGAGAAUGACGGUUCGAGCAGGUGCGAAAGCAGGUCAUAGUGAUCCGGUGGUUCUGAAUGGAAGGGCCAUCGCUCAACGGAUAAAAGGUACUCCGGGGAUAACAGGCUGAUACCGCCCAAGAGUUCAUAUCGACGGCGGUGUUUGGCACCUCGAUGUCGGCUCAUCACAUCCUGGGGCUGAAGUCGGUCCCAAGGGUAUGGCUGUUCGCCAUUUAAAGUGGUACGCGAGCUGGGUUUAGAACGUCGUGAGACAGUUCGGUCCCUAUCUGCCGUGGGCGUUGGAAGAUUGAAGGGGGCUGCUCCUAGUACGAGAGGACCGGAGUGGACGAACCUCUGGUGUUCGGGUUGUGUCGCCAGACGCAUUGCCCGGUAGCUAAGUUCGGAAUCGAUAACCGCUGAAAGCAUCUAAGCGGGAAGCGAGCCCUGAGAUGAGUCUUCCCUGAUACUUUAAGUAUCCUAAAGGGUUGUUCGAGACUAGAACGUUGAUAGGCAGGGUGUGUAAGCGUUGUGAGGCGUUGAGCUAACCUGUACUAAUUGCCCGUGAGGCUUAACCAUACAACACCCAAGGGGUUU
rnacentral:rRNA from 1 species